GCUUACGGCCAUACCACUCUGAAUACGCCCGAUCUCGUCCGAUCUCGGAAGCUAAGCAGGGUCGGGCCUGGUUAGUACUUGGAUGGGAGACCUCCUGGGAAUACCAGGUGCUGUAAACU
rnacentral:rRNA from 1 species